CAUNAAGCACUCCGCCUGGGGAGUACGACCGCAAGGUUGAAACUCAAAGGAAUUGACGGGGNCCCGCACAAGCGGUGGAGCAUGUGGUUUAAUUCGAAGCAACGCGAAGAACCUUACCAGGUCUUGACAUACUCGUGCUAUUCCUAGAGAUAGGAAGUUCCUUCGGGACACGGGAUACAGGUGGUGCAUGGUUGUCGUCAGCUCGUGUCGUGAGAUGUUGGGUUAAGUCCCGCAACGAGCGCAACCCUUAUUGUUAGUUGCCAUCAUUAAGUUGGGCACUCUAGCGAGACUGCCGGUAAUAAACCGGAGGAAGGUGGGGAUGACGUCAAAUCAUCAUGCCCCUUAUGACCUGGGCUACACACGUGCUACAAUGGUUGGUACAACGAGUCGCAAGACAGUGAUGUCAAGCUAAUCUCUUAAAGCCAAUCUCAGUUCGGAUUGUAGGCUGCAACUCGCCUACAUGAAGUCGGAAUCGCUAGUAAUCGCGGAUCAGCACGCCGCGGUGAAUACGUUCCCGGGCCUUGUACACACCGCCCGUCACACCACGAGAGUUUGUAAUACCCGAAGCCGGUGAGCUAACCUUUUAGGAGGCAGCCGUCUAAGGUAGGAUAGAUGAUUGGGGUGAAGUCGUAACAAGGUAGCCGUAUCGGAAGGUGCGGCUGGAUCACCUCCUUAUCU
rnacentral:rRNA from 1 species